AUUGAACGCUGGCGGCAUGCUUUACACAUGCAAGUCGAACGGUAACAGGUUAAGCUGACGAGUGGCGAACGGGUGAGUAAUGCAUCGGAACGUGCCCGAUCGUGGGGGAUAACGCAGCGAAAGCUGCGCUAAUACCGCAUACGAUCUGAGGAUGAAAGCGGGGGACCGUAAGGCCUCGCGCGAUCGGAGCGGCCGAUGGCAGAUUAGGUAGUUGGUGGGGUAAAGGCCCACCAAGCCGACGAUCUGUAGCUGGUCUGAGGGGACGACCAGCCACACUGGGACUGAGACACGGCCCAGACUCCUACGGGAGGCAGCAGUGGGGAAUUUUGGACAAUGGGCGAAAGCCUGAUCCAGCAAUGCCGCGUGCAGGAAGAAGGCCUUCGGGUUGUAAACUGCUUUUGUACGGAGCGAAAAGGUCCUUUCUAAUACAAGGGGCUCAUGACGGUACCGUAAGAAUAAGCACCGGCUAACUACGUGCCAGCAGCCGCCGUAA
rnacentral:rRNA from 1 species